AAUCAUCUUUGGUUGCCAUAGCAAAGCUACCCAAAAUAUAGUUGCUGAGGAAACCAUACUGAGAAUAUACACAAUAUAUAACCUAAUAAUGUUGAUAUACAGCUUUAAGAUUACGAGGAUAUAAAAUAUACUUGUGCUCUUGUUGAGACUUUAAAUAUUGAAUCUGAUAAAUGCUUAUUAAUUUCUUUUUGAAAGUCUUCCUAUUGCAUGUGAAGAUACAGCUUACUUAACAAUCAGAAGGAAGAAAGACACUUUCUUAGAGAAGGCAUAAAGAGUUGGCUAAGGGGCACAGAUAGCUUCUUGGCUCAAAUGUGAAGGAGGAAGCACUAUGAUGACAGAGAGAAGAUCUUAUGCCAGGAAUCAAACGGAGAAGACUGCUGCCUCUUUCAUCUUUAAUAACUGAAGUGUGGUCCCUGGAGACUGAAGGUCAUUGCAUAUAAUGUUUCAUAAUGUGAUAUGCAGUCCCAGCAUAUAAUACUCCAUCCUCAUCUCAGGGGCAGAUGGCAUGAGUCACAGGUACAAAUAUACAAACUUACAGUUUCAUGCUGUUUAGCUCAAGAUGAAAUGGUAUGUGAUGGCACCUGUUGUCUCUGAAGUCUUUGCAGAUAUUUCCUCUGCAUUAAAGAUGAAAAGACUCAUAACUCAA